UCAAAAAUUCUAUUCUCUAUUCCUACUGCCUGGCAUUGUGUGAUAGGCUUGACUCAGGUCUUACGACGGAAUCAUACGGUUACGACAAUCUAUCUGCUCCGGCCCUUCGACGCGGCAUUGAGGCAUUUCGUGUAACAAUGGCGCAAUCUGAUAUGCUUGAUUAGCCGAAUAGAAAAAUAACGUUCGCGUUCGUAAAUGUAAUAUGCAUAUGCCGCUUAGACGUCUUUUCAGACAAUGUUUUAUGUUUCAAGUCUUUGUCUUGAAGUGACACACAAUAGCUAUCUUGUGCCUCAAGACCACGAGGGUGCAAGCCAUACGGUUCAGGCCCUACAAAACAACUUAAAGACAUCGAAAGAUAUCUCUUAGAGUUGAGUGAUGUCUAGAAAUCUAUAAGUAGAACAGCUUUGCAGUUUCGAUGAAGUAAUAACGUCAAAGCGAGUGAUAUUCUCACUUAUCUAUGCGCCUAACCUAAAACACAAUAAUGGGAACCGCACGAAUGGAUGCAGGUGACGAAAUAAAACGACAGCGUCCUGCGCUGUUUGUUCACGAAUUACACACGAUGACCGAGAAAUGUGACGGGUUUGGCAAAUAAAUGUACCUGAGAAACGUAA